rnacentral:rRNA from 1 species
CUUUAUUGGAGAGUUUGAUCCUGGCUCAGGACGAACGCUGGCGGCGUGCCUAAUACAUGCAAGUCGAGCGAGUCUCUUCGGAGGCUAGCGGCGGACGGGUGAGUAACACGUAGGCAACCUGCCUCUCAGACUGGGAUAACAUAGGGAAACUUAUGCUAAUACCGGAUAGGUUUUUGGAUCGCAUGAUCCGAAAAGAAAAGGCGGCUUCGGCUGUCACUGGGAGAUGGGCCUGCGGCGCAUUAGCUAGUUGGUGGGGUAACGGCCUACCAAGGCGACGAUGCGUAGCCGACCUGAGAGGGUGACCGGCC